AAGAAUGUUUUUAUUCCACAUGAGAUUUACUCCAUUAUUGUGUCUUUUUGUCAGAAUUGUAAUUGAUAAUGAAGUUUGCAAAAAUACCACUGUGAUGCAGUGGAUGGUGCUAACAAACAUGGUAUACUUCUGGAGGUGGUAUAAAUCCUCAAUGAUCUUAAUCUUAUUGUUACCAAAGCUUAUAUUUGCUCUGAUGGAGGAUGGUUCAUGGAUGGUAAGGACAUUCUCAUUUUGAUUUCUUGUUGAAAUGUUUUUUUCAUUGUAUAACAAAGGAGUUGAGACACGUUGUUGGGUUAAAUUUUGAGUUGUUCUUCUUUCUCUUUU